GCACGUAGUUAGCCGAGACUUAUUCCUGAGAUACUGUCCUUUCUCAUCUCUCAGAAAAGCGCUUUACGACCCGAAGGCCUUCAUCGCGCACGCGGCGUUGCUGCAUCAGGCUUUCGCCCAUUGUGCAAUAUUCCCUACUGCUGCCACCCGUAGGUGUAUGGACCGUGUUUCAGUUCCAUUGUGGGGGGUCACCCUCUCAGGUCCCCUACCCGUCGUAGCCUUGGUGAGCCGUUACCUCACCAACUAGCUGAUGGGACGCAGGUCCCUCCCAAAGCGCAUUGCUGCUUUAGUCGCCGGUUUCUAAACCCGGAGACCACAUGCGGUAUUAGCAAUCCUUUCGGACUGUUAUCCCACACUUUGGGGUAGGUCACCCACGCGUUACUCACCCGUUCGCCACUAGGAUACUCCCGUAUUGCUACAAGAGUACCUCGUUCGACUUGCAUGUAUUAGGCACGCCGCCAGCGUUCAUC
rnacentral:rRNA from 1 species